rnacentral:rRNA from 1 species
GACGAACGCUGGCGGCGUGCUUAACACAUGCAAGUCGAACGGAAAGGCCCUGCUUUUGUGGGGUGCUCGAGUGGCGAACGGGUGAGUAACACGUGAGUAACCUGCCCUUGACUUUGGGAUAACUUCAGGAACCUGGGGCUAAUACCGGAUAGGAGCUCCUGCUGCUUGGUGGGGGUUGGAAAGUUUCGGCGGUUGGGGAUGGACUCGCGGCUGAUCAGCUUGUUGGUGGGGUAGUGGCUUACCAAGGCUUUGACGGGUAGCCGGCCUGAGAGGGUGACCGGCCACAUUGGGACUGAGAUACGGCCCAGACUCCUACGGGAGGCAGCAGUGGGGAAUAUUGCACAAUGGGCGGAAGCCUGAUGCAGCAACGCCGCGUGCGGGAUGACGGCCUUCGGGUUGUAAACCGCUUUCGCCUGUGACGAAGCGUGAGUGACGGUAAUGGGUAAAGAAGCACCGGCUAACUACGUG